CGCGGUAAGACGUAGGGGGCGAGCGUUGUCCGGAGUUACUGGGCGUAAAGGGCGCGUAGGCGGUUUAGCAAGUCAGGUGUAAAAGGCCACGGCUCAACCGUGGGGGUGCACCUGAAACUGCUGAGCUAGAGGGCAGGAGAGGGGAGUGGAAUUCCCGGUGUAGCGGUGAAAUGCGUAGAUAUCGGGAGGAAUACCAGUGGCGAAGGCGACUCCCUGGACUGGCCCUGACGCUGAGGCGCGAGAGCGUGGGGAGCGAACAGGAUUAGAUACCCUGGUAGUCCACGCUGUAAACGAUGGGUGCUAGGUGUGGGUAGCGGAAGCUAUCCGUGCCGCAGGAAACCCAAUAA
rnacentral:rRNA from 1 species